GUUGAUUAUUUCCCUUUUCACUGAAUUGACUUGGAAGUCAAUUUACCAAAGGAUUCCUUAGAACAAUUCUACUGAACAGAAAGUGUGACCAGUUCCACCUGAGUAAUACCUGGGUCAUCCUCCACGUUAGAUGUGCACACAUAUAUUUAAAAUAAAAAAGUUACAAAACUAGUCAGCACCAGAAGAAAGUAUAUGGCUGCACUAGAGGAAUUUUGGACGUUUACCAAUGUUGCUUUUCAGCUGCUUCAUCCCCAUUGCUCUUCUGUCCUACACGUGAGAGGCCAGCACUGGUGGUGUAAAUUCUGCCCUCGGGUCAUACUGCUUGUUCUCCAGGUACCAUGGAUUCAAAGCUGACAGGAGCUGGAGCCAUCCUAAGAAUCACAUGCUGUUCAGCAAGGAGACAGGCUCCAAGUAGCUUAGCUCCAUCUGAUGUGAUAGCUGUAUCCUAUCCAGUCAUCAGUUGAAACCCACCAGUGGCCAGGCCUGGAUCUGGGCUUAUUAAACACAUUAUCAUCAAGGUAUUUCAAUCACUGCCGAGUCUGCGUGGCAAAAAAAAAA